CCCUCACUCGUCUGGCCCGCCAGUCUCCCGCGCGAUGGCCUCGGCGCUGAGCUAUGUCUCCAAGUUCAAGUCCUUCGUGAUCUUGUUCGUCACCCCGCUCCUGCUGCUGCCACUCGUCAUUCUGAUGCCCGCCAAGGUGUGCCUACGUCAUCAUCCUCAUGGCCAUUUACUGGUGCACAGAAGUCAUCCCUCUGGCUGUCACCUCUCUCAUGCCUGUCUUGCUUUUCCCACUCUUCCAGAUUCUGGACUCCAAGCAGGUGUGUGUCCAGUACAUGAAGGACACCAACAUGCUGUUCCUGGGCGGCCUCAUCAUGGCCGUGGCUGUGGAGCGCUGGAACCUGCACAAGAGGAUCGCCCUGCGCACGCUCCUCUGGGUGGGGGCCAAGCCUGCACAGCUGAUGCUGGGCUUCAUGGGCGUCACAGCCCUCCUGUCCAUGUGGAUCAGUAACACGGCAACCACGGCCAUGAUGGUGCCCAUCGUGGAGGCCAUAUUGCAGCAGAUGGAAGCCACGAGCGCAGCCACCGAGACCAGCCUGGAGCUGGUGGACAAGGGCAAGGCCAAGGAGCUGC
rnacentral:sRNA from 1 species